rnacentral:rRNA from 1 species
GAUGAACGCUAGCGGCAGGCUUAAUACAUGCAAGUCGAGGGGCAGCGCGGGGUAGCAAUACUCUGGCGGCGACCGGCAAACGGGUGCGGAACACGUACAGAACCUUCCUUCGAGCGGGGAAUAGCCCAGAGAAAUUUGGAUUAAUACCCCAUAGUAUAGCGGAGUGGCAUCACUCUGUUAUUAAAGAUUUAUCACUUGAAGAUGGCUGUGCGGCUGAUUAGGUAGUUGGCGGGGUAACGGCCCACCAAGCCUGCGAUCAGUAACUGGUGUGAGAGCACGACCAGUCACACGGGCACUGAGACACGGGCCCGACUCCUACGGGAGGCAGCAGUAAGGAAUAUUGGUCAAUGGACGAAAGUCUGAACCAGCCAUGCCGCGUGAAGGAUGAAGGUCCUCUGGAUUGUAAACUUCUUUUAUAUGGGACGAAAAAAGGCUUUUCUAAGUCGUCUGACGGUACCAUUUGAAUAAGCACCGGCUAACUCCGUGCCAGCCGCCGCGGUAAAAC